GACAGAGGGUGCAAACGUUGCUCGGAAUCACUGGGCGUAAAGGGCGUGUAGGCGGGCAGGAAAGUCAGAUGUGAAAGCCCUGGGCUCAACCCAGGAACUGCAUUUGAAACUCCCUUUCUUGAGUGUCGGAGAGGAAAGCGGAAUUCCUGGUGUAGAGGUGAAAUUCGUAGAUAUCAGGAGGAACACCGGUGGCGAAGGCGGCUUUCUGGACGACAACUGACGCUGAGACGCGAAAGCGUGGGGAGCAAACAGG
rnacentral:rRNA from 1 species